AAAAAAAAAGAAUGAGAUUUUACUACAGGAAACCAAGCAUGUCAAAAUUUGGCAAAGCAAUUUGGAUGAUUUAACAGUUAAACACUUCUCUUUUUAAUGUUAUGCUUUCAUCAGUCUUUUUUAUUUAAGCUUUUCAGUUUUGCAUUCUGUUUGCUGCAAUUAGUGUCCCUUAUCUGUUCACCCCCUACUUUUGAAAGGAAAGUGAGUUUAGGAUCCUGUCUUUAGAGUAUUUUGCUGUGUAAUUUCUAAUGUACUGGUCAAGUAGCUCAACUUAUUUUACAGGUAAAAUUUGUUUUCUUCCACAGAGUUGAGUUUGGAUUUAGAUCUACGGCUCCACGUAUUUGUUUCUCCUGAGACCCAUAUAUUUUGGAGUUCUGAUGACAAGGCAGUUUUUCUUUAGUCUAUUGAUUUAGGAACCCUGACUUAGGAGUGCAUAUGCUGUAACUGAAGUAGUCUGGUGCUUUAACAUUUUCAGCUUCAAACAUGUGUUACCUGACUAGAUGGAAUUCCUUGAGAACUGUAUUAACAUGUUUCAAAGAGUUGAAUUAACAGAUAAAAUGACCUUUUUCUGCUUUGGAGAGAUGGGAUGGAUACCGCAGUUGAUUAAUUACUCCCUACUCCCAGAAAUACUUCUCUUUAGAACCUCAUGGAGUUUCGCUCUUGUUGCCCAGGCUGGAGUGCAAUGCUGCGAUCUCGGCUCACCGUAACCUCCGCUUCUGGGGUUCAAGUGAUUCUCCUGCCUCAGCCUCCCAAGUAGCUAGGAUUACAGGCUGGAGUGGCAUCAUCUCAGCUCACUGCAACCUCUGCCUCCCGGGUUCAAGCAAUUCUCCUGCGUCAGCCUCCCGAGUAGUUGGGAUUACAGGCGCCUGCCACCACGCCUAAAUGGUGGUGUCCAAUGAUGUCUCCACGCAGCUGGACUUUUUCUUGGAUGCUCUUUUGGUUGACAUUGAAUCCACAGAGAUUUCUGGCUUCAUGGAUGGCCAAACACUGAAAACUUCCAGACACACUUGAAUAAGAAGAGAAGGGGCCUGUAUUGCAAGGCUAUUACAGAGGCGGCUAAGACUGCCAAGCAGCUGACCUCCGAAGUACAGGCUCUGAAGUAAAGGCUCCAUUGACAGUUUGAAACAUAAACACAGUAAGGUAAUAAAUGUGGGAGGUAUGCAGAAAUCAGAAAAUAUUCUACUCAUCAAGAAUGUGGCAAGUUACAACCACAAAAUGAAAAUAGAAACAGAAUAGAAAUAUCAAGAUAAGGGACAACUAAGAGACUAAGGAAAUAUGACAGGCUGCCUAGUCCACUCACAUGGAGGCUACUUGUGAAGCCAGAUAACGCACACAGAUAUGCUGAAUUCUUGGAGUCUGGCAGCAAAGGAGGAGUUUGCUAUUUCUGAGGAGCUAAUCCAUGAGGAGAAAGGAGACAGUUAACAGCAUCUAAGAGAGUAAGAAAACCCAAAAGAUUUUUAUUCUUUAUGUUUGAUUGCAGUACGUACAAAGAGUUUAGCUUAUUAGCUUUUCAAUGAUUACCUAAUAUUAGCAAAUCACUCAUAGUAAUUCAUUUCAGGAACAAAUUAGAAUAAAGCAAUGCAUCUAUAUCUCUUGAAACAACAACAACAAAAAGAAUUUGGAAAAACUUGGUAGCCUUUCUGCAUUUUAAACAAAAGUCUAUAUAAAGAAAAAUAUAACAAAAGUAUAUAAACAUUAUGUUAAAACUACUACAAACCUAUAGUAAUUAGCUUAAUAAAUAUUAAUGGUAUAAAGCAGGCUGUACAAAUUGAAUUGUUUUUGAAGUUAUAUCUAACAAUAAUACAAGAAAAUGAAGUAAUAUAAAUCAGAUAUAAGGAUUAUUUUACAUUUUGUAUAUUGUUACAUACCUAUAAAAAUCUCUUAGAAAUAUUUUGACGUUUAUAUGAAGAAAAGCUAUUACUCAUAUUUAAAAUUUAUAAGACAUUAUAUAUCAUAGCAGAAUACAUAAUAAAUAUGUAGAAACCAAUAACUUUCCUCAAUGGUAGUAAUAAUCAGUUAGCAAUAAAAAAGAAAAAAUAAAAUUUAGACCACCACAUUAAGGGCUAGCAGUUUAUAGAGUAAGAUGCUGUUCAGUAUGUUCAAGGCACAGGGACAAAAGUAACUAUAAUCAAAAGAAUAACAUUUUUCACCAAUCUGCUAAGAUGAAAAUUGUUGCAUUUAUUUAGAUUUUGUUUACAGUGUUGCACCUAAACAACUUGUUCAUGAGGGUGAAUGUACCUAUCGAACCUUUUUGGUUUUUUUUUUUUUUUUAUAGCAUUAAGUGUAUUAACAUCAUUUUAAACAGGUGAACACAAGUAUAGUGCUUUUUGUUGACCUAUACUAACACAUGAAUACUGCAGAGCAAUCCUAGGGUAGGAUGGGGGAAAGGAAAUAGAGAAAUGCCUUCACUGCUCUCUGUGAAAAAUGAAUGUCUUCAACAUGAUAUGUUUUGCUAAUUUUUUAAAUUUUAUAGGCCAGAAGAAAAGCUUAGAUAUUUUCAUAAUAUUUGUUAUUGACCAAGUAGGGAUUCAAGUAGUUAGGAUAGUAGCCAUAAUACCAAUUAAUUGAUAAAGCCAAUAAAUUAAUACUGCUAAAAUUCUUCUUUUAGAGUUUGUUUAGGCAUUCCUAAUUUCCACUUCUACCCUCUCAAAUAUCUGGAUGUUUUCACGUUCUUAAAUAAGGAGCCAGUAGAAAACCAGAAGCUUGCACCAUUGAGUAUAGAAAAAAGAGUAUUAAGAAAUGAAAAAAAUUAAAGGCACAUAUUAAAAGGGUCACAGCAUAAUCCCUAGAAGUGUUUAAUUUUGAGCACAACUGUACCCUGAAGACCCCAGGAAAUGAUAUGCUUUUUCCCACCAGCAACACAGUCACUUGAGAAUUUCUUUCACACCUCCAUUAGAAAAAAAGACAGGGCAUACCGCUUAAUAUUGUUGUUAUCUAAACCACACGUGGUAGUUUAUAUUUUGCACAGAAAACCCAAAUAAUAAGUCAAAUUUAUUUUUACAAAAGUAAUUUAUUUGUUCUACUAAUAAAAGUAACUGUUGAUCAUUUGUGCCAAUCACCAUGCUAAGCAUUUAAACAAAAUUAUCUCAUUUUUACUCUCCCAGUGACCCAAGAUGUUAUUGUCCAAUUUUACAGAUGAGAAUAGUAAAUAUAUGGGGCUUAUGGAAGUUGGCUAAGUGUAUGCACAGCUAGGAAGUGGUGGAAAUACGAUUCAAAUUUAGAUUUAACUCCAAAGUUUUAAGUUCUAAACUGCAAUGCAAUACUGCCUUUUCCAUAGAAGACUUUUGAUUCUAGAGAAUUUAAGUCAACUCAUUUGUUUACAUAGUCAAAAAUUAAAAUUCCAGAUAUACUGAAAUUUUUAGUAUUGAUGGAAAUUCACUGUAUAGUAGAUUGAUCACCCUGCCAGAAAUAGUUCAAAAAGCUGACUAUUUCUAUUAGCUUCUAAAACUGAAGAGAGGUCCAUUCUUUGUAAGACCCUUUUUUUAAAAAAAGAAAAAAAAUCACAAUUUUAGGGCCAUUCUAUUAGUGAUGGUUAAUUAAGAAUAAAACUAAAUUCUCAGUUACAUAGAAAUAGUAAAUCCUGAUAUUUUCUCUACUGAAAGAGUGUAAAAAACAAAGCAGCCCAUUUCUUCAGUGUCAUUUAAAUUGAAUUUCUAUGAUAACUUUAGAGUGAAAGUGGAGCUCAUAUGUUAAUAUUUGGCCCUAUGUAAAUUAGACUAUAAAUUUAGUAAGUAAAUUAUUCACUUUUCACCAUAGUUAUAUUUGUUAUGAAAGAAAAAUAAUAGCGGAUAACUUUUUAAAAAAACACUUUUCUUGAUUUUUAUUAUCUCUUGGACACUACCAUACUCAGGACAGCAUUUAUCUUCCUGCACACUAGAAAACUCAUAGCCAAAGGGAUGAGAGAAAAGUCACUUAUAGCCCUCAAGCUGAAAUAGCUUCAGGCUGAUAUGAUGUCAUUAAUACACCUCAGAAUACCUGAUUUUUAAAGUAAUUCUACCAUGCCUUGUAUAUUGUGACUAUACUUAAGAAAUUGGGACAGCUCCAAAAUCAAACUUCUUGAUAAGAUGUAUAAAUCAAGAAUAAUAGUUAUUACUUCUUUGAAAAACUCUUACAAUAAAAAAAUUAUAUUUUUGGCACAAAUUUAGCUAGUAAAGCAUCAUUAUUCAUUUAGUCAACUCAUGGGUUUUUUGCCCUGUUGUAUAUUGCAUUGCAUUAUAUUUAAUUAGGGGUCAAAUCUUGAUUUUGUGAUUGUUAUUUUUCAUGAAAUAAGUAGAUUAUAUUGGUUGUUUUUAGUGUAAAUAACACAUUAAUAAAAGAUGAUGUAAUUAUAGAGCUAUGACAUUUUCUUUUUUUUCUUUUUUUUAUUAUUAUACUUUAAGUUCUAAGGUACAUGUGCAUAACGUUCAGAUUUGUUACAUAUGUAUACAUGUGCCAUGUUGGUGUGCUGCACACAUUAACUUGUCAUUUACAUUAGGUAUAUCUCCUAAUGCUAUCCCUCCCCCCUCCCCCCACCCAACAACAGGCCCAUUGUGUGAUUUUCCCCUUCCUGUGUCCAAGUGUUCUCAUUGUUCACUUCCCACCUAUGUGUGAGAACAUGCACUGUUUGGUUUUUUGUCCUUGCAAUAUUUUGCUAAGAGUGAUGGUUUCCAGCUUCAUCCAUGUCCCUACAAAGGACAUGAACUCAUCAUUUUUUAUGGCUGCAUAGUAUUCCAUGGUGUACAUAUGCCACAUUUUCUUAAUCCAGUCCAUCAUUGUUGGACAUUUGGGUUGGUUCCAGGUCUUUGCUGU